rnacentral:rRNA from 1 species
GCCUACGGGGGGCAGCAGUGGGGAAUAUGGCACAAUGGGGGAAACCCUGAUGCAGCGACGCCGCGUGAGUGAGGAAGUAUUUCGGUAUGUAAAGCUCCAUCAGCAGGGAAGAAAAUGACGGUACCUGACUAAGAAGCACCGGCUAACUACGUGCCAGCAGCAGCGGUAAUACGUAGGGGGCAAGCGUUAUCCGGAUUUACUGGGUGCAAAGGGAGCGUAGACGGAGGAGCAAGUCUGAUGUGAAAAUCCGG